GCAGCCAUUGCUGUGAGGACCAAGAAUUCCCUCAAAAACAGGUAAUAAAAUCUCCAUCUGUAUUUUUGUUCCCUUGAAUUUUAAAUGUAUCAGUGCUUGUCUGAUUGAAUGCAAUGAACCAUCUGCAACAGGGAACAGGAGAAGUGUGCAUUCCUCUUACAAGAAGCACCUCAUGAAAGAAGAAGUGAAAAGCAAAUAUUUAUUUAAAGAAAGGGCUGCAAAGUGAUGGAGAGAUUUGAGGGGUUUACCAGUUUUCCUG